CCGGGGUCAGUGCCGCGCGGAACCUGCGCGCAGCCCCUGUAGCCCCGCCCACUCUCCGCACGCGACCCGCCGGGUGAGCGCCGGGGAGGCCGCAGCCGAGGAGCCGCGCGGCGCGUCUCCCCCUGUCUCCGCCGUUCCAGGGUCGCUGGGAGACUAAGAGAAGCGUGUGUACGAAGUGAUCCCAGCUCCUCGCGUGACGAACUGUUCAUCGACUGGGACCAUUUACUGCACGCGGUGGCAGCUUCACCGCGGGAACGCCUCCGGCACGGAGCCCACCGCUCCCACGUCUGACCUUGCAGAGUCCGGACAAGACUGUGACUGGAUGGGAGGAAUCGACAUGGCCCAGAGAUCCAUACAUUGAUUGUUGGGUUUUACAUUUCCUUAGUUUGGGAGAGAGUGCGUCCAUCUUCUUAAAAUCAGUUACAUCUUGGGCAGAAACAGUAAGUAGCUUUUGUGAUCGUAUUAAAGCUCAAAUGUAUGUCCAGGGGUGUGUACAGAUGCUGUGUGGCUAAAGGGGAAGGCUCUACCAAUUACUAAGCUCUUCUCAGCCUCACGCCCAGUAUUUUUAACUGUUUGUGUGAUGCUGGGCACAGAACUCUGCUGACAUUUCUGCUCUGCCAGCUGGCAUCCCACUGGGCCUCUCCAGCAGGAUGCACCUGAGGGAGGCCUCAGUGCCGGAGGAAGAAAAGGGACCUGUUCCCUCCUGUCCCCAUCAGCAUCACCCCCGUGCGGCAGCAGCAGCACGUUCCCAGAGCCACAGCCAGACCCAGUCGUCACUUCUGACCCCUCUGACCCCCCCGGAGCCGCUCUGUUGUGCCCCAGGGACACCAGCACCGGGUGAGCACCCAUUCGGAGGCAGCUCUUCCUGGAGUUGCUGCUUCCUGGCUCUUCCACUGUCAAAAAUCCUAUCCUAUUGUUAACAUGACUUGCGUGGGUUCUGUCUUCUAUUUGGACCAUGACUGACAGACACAGGAAGCUUGUAUCUAUUGAAACGGAGUCCCAAGACUGUAUCGUUUAAAUCCUUCCUCAACAAUGACUGAGGCUCUGCAACAUCUCUUUCUCCCAUGGUUUUUCACAUGGGCACUUGGGGAUUUCUUCAAAUUCUAAUCCUUUGAAUUUCCUUCUGUUCCAAUAGUCCUUCACCCCAAGCUGAGAAUUAAAAUAACCUGUAUUUGGAUAUUAAAAUUUUAAAUUGAGAAUAUUUUUAGAACACAUGUCAAGGAUACUGCAUUGUCUGAACUGUCCUACACGUUUUGUGCCGGAAUGGACUUAAAAGAGCCACGCACGCAAGAGCAGAAUUCGCAGCAACCACCGCCAGUGCCCCCAUUUCCCUUCAUUAAGAGUCCACAACCUGGUUCUUGCGGAUAGUUUUCAUUUAUUACUGCAGUAGACAAUCGCUCUGAAAGUGCAACACUAAAUCACUUUGUCACAGCCUCUGCCCCUCCACUGGCAAAUUCUUGGAAGUUCAUUCUUGGAGCAUCGCGGACCAUAAGCUUCUCUCUAGGUGGAUAAUUAUUGCCACUGCCAAGGUCACAGGAAAAAAAAAAAAAACCCACACACAUGAAUAGAAGGAUAAAAUGAGAAGAGCCCUCGAGAGUAGGGGCCAAUUUCAAACGGAAAAUCCAGCAGAGGGCUCAGGGGACAACAGCCCACCUGUGCCAAGUGGAAGGUGACUCCCCAUCUCCAGGCAGCAACCUACCAUGUUGGUGAGGUUGGUCUGGGCGCACCUUUUGCCCACUUUGUCCCCAGAGUAGGUGAUACCAUAAUCACUGCCGUGUCAUACUGCAGUGUAGCAGAGGCCCAUGGAGUCAAAAGGAAGUAAAAGGACCUCUCAAGCCAGUCUGGAAAAUGGGUGGUUUGGCUAAACUGACUCUUCAACCUCCCACUUAAAACUGCUGGACAGAAUAUCCGGGAGAGCCCUGUGGGUAAGACACUGCCUGAGAGAAAUAACUCUUGUUCUGACCAGCACAGGGCCAGCAUCUUUUGAUGGGAAAAGAUAACUUUCAAAUACUGCAAUGCCAAGGAAGAAGGAAAACAUGAGCAGUUCUAGAAAACACGAGAGAUUAAAAAAUCUGAACGAGACAAAAAAAAAAAAA